ACCCUACGGGAGGCAGCAGUGAGGAAUAUUGGUCAAUGGGCGCGAGCCUGAACCAGCCAAGUCGCGUGAGGGAAGACGGUCCUAUGGAUUGUAAACCUCUUUUGUCGGGGAGCAAAAGACGCCACGUGUGGCGUUCCGAGAGUACCCGAAGAAAAAGCAUCGGCUAACUCCGUGCCAGCAGCCGCGGUAAUACGGAGGAUGCGAGCGUUAUCCGGAUUUAUUGGGUUUAAAGGGUGCGCAGGCGGCCUGUUAAGUCAGCGGUAAAAGCCCGGGGCUCAACCCCGGCGAGCCGCUGAAACUGGCGG
rnacentral:rRNA from 1 species